rnacentral:rRNA from 1 species
GACGAACGCUGGCGGCGUGCUUAACACAUGCAAGUCGAACGGUAAGGCCCUUCGGGGUACACGAGUGGCGAACGGGUGAGUAACACGUGGGUGAUCUGCCCUGCACUUCGGGAUAAGCCUGGGAAACUGGGUCUAAUACCGGAUAGGACCCUGGGAUACACGUCCUGGGGUGGAAAGCUUUUGCGGUGUGGGAUGGGCCCGCGGCCUAUCAGCUUGUUGGUGGGGUGAUGGCCUACCAAGGCGACGACGGGUAGCCGGCCUGAGAGGGGGACCGGCCACACUGGGACUGAGAUACGGCCCAGACUCCUACGGGAGGCAGCAGUGGGGAAUAUUGCACAAUGGGCGCAAGCCUGAUGCAGCGACGCCGCGUGAGGGAUGACGGCCUUCGGGUUGUAAACCUCUUUCAGCACCGACGAAGCGCAAGUGACGGUAGGUGCAGAAGAAGGACCGGCCAACUACGUGCCAGCCGCCGCGGUAA